rnacentral:rRNA from 1 species
CCUACGGGGGGCUGCAGUGGGGAAUAUUGGGCAAUGGGCGCAAGCCUGACCCAGCAACGCCGCGUGAAGGAAGAAGGCUUUCGGGUUGUAAACUUCUUUUAAGAGGGAAGAGCAGAAGACGGUACCUCUUGAAUAAGCCACGGCUAACUACGUGCCAGCAGCCGCGGUAAUACGUAGGUGGCAAGCGUUGUCCGGAUUUACUGGGUGUAAAGGGCGUGUAGCCGGGCUGACAAGUCAGAUGUGAAAUUCCGGGGCUCAACCCCGGACCUGCAUUUGAAACUGGUGGUCUUGAGGAUCGGAGAGGGAGGGCGAAAUUCUAGGUGUGGGGGGAAA